GACGAACGCUGGCGGCGUGCUUAACACAUGCAAGUCGAACGGAAAGGCCCUGCUUUUGUGGGGUGCUCGAGUGGCGAACGGGUGAGUAACACGUGAGUAACCUGCCCUUGACUUUGGGAUAACUUCAGGAAACUGGGGCUAAUACCGGAUAGGAGCUCCUGCUGCAUGGUGGGGGUUGGAAAGUUUCGGCGGUUGGGGAUGGACUCGCGGCUUAUCAGCUUGUUGGUGGGGUAGUGGCUUACCAAGGCUUUGACGGGUAGCCGGCCUGAGAGGGUGACCGGCCACAAUGGGACUGAGAUACGGCGCAGACUCCUACGGGAGGCAGCAGUGGGGAGUAUUGCACAGUGGGCGGAAGCCUGAUGCAGCAACGCCGCGUGCGGGAUGACGGCCUUCGGGUUGUAAACCGCUUUCGCCUGUGACGAAGCGUGAGUGACGGUAAUGGGUAAAGAAGCACCGGCUAACUACGUG
rnacentral:rRNA from 1 species